rnacentral:rRNA from 1 species
AGCGAACGCUGGCGGCAGGCCUAACACAUGCAAGUCGAACGAACCUUUCGGGGUUAGUGGCGGACGGGUGAGUAACACGUGGGAACGUGCCUUUAGGUUCGGAAUAACUCAGGGAAACUUGUGCUAAUACCGAAUGUGCCCUUCGGGGGAAAGAUUAAUCGCCUUUAGAGCGGCCCGCGUCUGAUUAGCUAGUUGGUUGAGGUAAUGGCUCACCAAGGCGACGAUCAGUAGCUGGUCUGAGAGGAUGAUCAGCCACAUUGGGACUGAGACACGGCCCAAACUCCUACGGGAGGCAGCAGUGGGGAAUCUUGCGCAAUGGGCGAAAGCCUGACGCAGACAUGCCGCGUGAAUGAUGAAGGUCUUAGGAUUGUAAAAUUCUUUCACCGGGGACGAUAAUGACGGUACCCGGAGAAGAAGCCCCGGCUAACUUCGUG